rnacentral:rRNA from 1 species
UCCGUAGGUGAACCUGCGGAAGGAUCGUUA